CAGCAGCCACGGUAAAACGAAGGGUGCAAGCGUUACUCGGAAUUACUGGGCGUAAAGCGUGCGUAGGUGGUGGUUUAAGUCCGUUGUGAAAGCCCUGGGCUCGACCUGGGAAUUGCAGUGGGUACUGGGUCACUAGAGUGUGGUAGAGGAUAGUGGAAUUUCCGGUGUAGCAGUGAAAUGCGUAGAGAUCGGAAGGAACAUCUGUGGCGAAGGCGACUAUCUGGGCCAACACUGACACUGAGGCACGAAAGCGUGGGGAGCAAACAGGAUUAGAGACCCGCGUAGUCCCUGUCUCUUAUAC
rnacentral:rRNA from 1 species